rnacentral:tRNA from 1 species
UCCCUGGUGGCUCAGUGGGAAAGAACCUGCCUGUCAAUGCAGGAGACACAGGUUCAAUCCCUGGUCUGGGAA